GACGAACGCUGGCGGCGUGCCUAAUACAUGCAAGUAGAACGCUGAAGGAGGAGCUUGCUCUUCUGGAUGAGUUGCGAACGGGUGAGUAACGCGUAGGUAACCUGCCUGGUAGCGGGGGAUAACUAUUGGAAACGAUAGCUAAUACCGCAUAACAGUAGAUGUUGCAUGACAUUUACUUAAAAGGUGCAAUUGCAUCACUACCAGAUGGACCUGCGUUGUAUUAGCUAGUUGGUGGGGUAACGGCUCACCAAGGCGACGAUACAUAGCCGACCUGAGAGGGGGAUCGGCCACACUGGGACUGGGACACGGCCCAGACUCCUACGGGAGGCAGCAGUAGGGAAUCUUCGGCAAUGGACGGAAGUCUGACCGAGCAACGCCGCGUGAGUGAAGAAGGUUUUCGGAUCGUAAAGCUCUGUUGUAAGAGAAGAACGAGUGUGAGAGUGGAAAGUUCACACUGUGACGGUAUCUUACCAGAAAGGGACGGCUAACUACGUG
rnacentral:rRNA from 1 species